rnacentral:rRNA from 1 species
UACGUAGGUGGCGAGCGUUGUUCGGAUUUACUGGGCGUAAAGGGUGCGUAGGCGGUCGGGUAAGUCUGAUGUGAAAUCUCUGGGCUCAACCCAGAAAUGGCAUUGGAUACUAUUCGGCUAGAGAGUUGGAGGGGGGACUGGAAUACUUGGUGUAGCAGUGAAAUGCGUAGAUAUCAAGUGGAACACCAGUGGCGAAGGCGAGUCCCUGGACAACUUCUGACGCUGAGGCACGAAAGCUAGGGGAGCAAACAGG